CUACCCUUGACAUGUACGGAACUUGCCAGAGAUGGCUUGGUGCUCGAAAGAGAGCCGUAACACAGGUGCUGCAUGGCUGUCGUCAGCUCGUGUCGUGAGAUGUUGGGUUAAGUCCCGCAACGAGCGCAACCCUUGUCAUUAAUUGCCAUCAUUUAGUUGGGCACUUUAAUGAGACUGCCGGUGACAAACCGGAGGAAGGUGGGGAUGACGUCAAGUCCUCAUGGCCCUUAUGGGUAGGGCUUCACACGUAAUACAAUGGUCGGUACAGAGGGCAGCCAACCCGCGAGGGGGAGCCAAUCCCAGAAAACCGAUCGUAGUCCGGAUUGCAGUCUGCAACUCGACUGCAUGAAGUCGGAAUCGCUAGUAAUCGCGGAUCAGCAUGUCGCGGUGAAUACGUUCCC
rnacentral:rRNA from 1 species